GACGAACGCUGGCGGCGUGCUUAACACAUGCAAGUCGAACGGAAAGGCCCUGCUUUUGUGGGGUGCUCGAGUGGCGAACGGGUGAGUAACACGUGAGUAACCUGCCCUUGACUGUGGGAUAACUUCAGGAAACUGGGGCUAAUACCGGAUAGGAGCUCCUGCUGCAUGGGGUGGGUUGGAAAGUUUCGGCGGUGGUGGAUGGACUCGCGGGUUAUGAGCUUGUUGGUGAGGUAGUGGCUUACCAAGGCUUCGACGGGUAGCCGGCAUGAGAGGGUGACCGGCGACCUUGGGACUGAGAUACGGAGCAGAAGGCUACGGGCGGCAGCAGGGGGGAGCCUGACAGAACAGGGGGACGUGUGAUGCAGAAACGCCGCGUGCGGGAUGACCGCUUUCGGGUUGUAAACAACUUUGGAAUGUGCUGAAGAGUGCGUGACGGUAAUGGGUAAAGAAGCACCGGCUAACUACGUG
rnacentral:rRNA from 1 species